UACGUAGGGGGCGAGCGUUGUCCGGAUUUACUGGGCGUAAAGCGCACGCAGGCGGUCUGCUAAGUUUGGAGUGACAGUUGGUGGCUUAACUGCCAAAGUGCUUCGAAAACUGACAGACUUGAGGGCUUCAGAGGGACACGGAAUUCCGGGUGGAGUGGUGAAAUGCGUAGAGAUCCGGAGGAACACCAAAGGCGAAGGCAGUGUCCUGGGGAGUACCUGACGCUCAGGUGCGAAAGUCAGGGGAGCGAACGGG
rnacentral:rRNA from 1 species